rnacentral:tRNA from 1 species
GCCCACAUCGCAUAGUGGUAUUGCAGUGGAUUGCUAACUAAAGUUCCUUUUAGAAAAAGAAACUUUGGGAAAGUAGAAAACUUUUCACCAAAAAUCCACGCCCUUCGGGGCUCCCAGGUUCGAAUCCUGGUGUGGGCG